CCUACGGGUGGCAGCAGUGGGGAAUAUUGGACAAUGGGGGCAACCCUGAUCCAGCGACGCCGCGUGUGUGAAGAAGGCCUGCGGGUUGUAAAGCACUUUUAGUGGGGAGGAAGGUCUGCGACCUAACACGUCGUGGAAUUGACUUAACCCACAGAAAAAGCACCGGCUAACUCUGUGCCAGCAGCCGCGGUAAUACAGAGGGUGCAAGCGUUAAUCGGAAUUACUGGGCGUAAAGCGUGCGUAGGCGGUUUCGUAAGUCGGGUGUGAAAGCCCCG
rnacentral:rRNA from 1 species